UACAGAGGGGGCAAGCGUUAUUCGGAAUUAUUGGGCGUAAAGGGCGCGUAGGCGGCCUGGCAAGUGGAAGGUGAAAUCCCUCGGCUUAACCGAGGAACUGCCCUCCAAACUGCUUGGCUUGAGUCCGAGAGAGGUGAGUGGAAUUCCCAGUGUAGAGGUGAAAUUCGUAGAUAUUGGGAAGAACACCGGUGGCGAAGGCGGCUCACUGGCUCAUUACUGACGCUCAGGCGCGAUAGCGUGGGGAUCAAACAGG
rnacentral:rRNA from 1 species